rnacentral:rRNA from 1 species
UACGAAGGGGGCUAGCGUUGUUCGGAAUCACUGGGCGUAAAGCGCACGUAGGCGGCUUCUUAAGUCAGGGGUGAAAUCCUGGAGCUCAACUCCAGAACUGCCUUUGAUACUGAGGAGCUCGAGUCCGGGAGAGGUGAGUGGAACUCCGAGUGUAGAGGUGAAAUUCGUAGAUAUUCGGAAGAACACCAGUGGCGAAGGCGGCUCACUGGCCCGGUACUGACGCUGAGGUGCGAAAGCGUGGGGAGCAAACAGG